CACCCGCCCUGCUUCAUCCUUCUACGUCCAAACUGAAUCACAUCCCCACACCAGGUAGGAAAGCAUUACCAUCAUUAUUGCAAUAUUUAUAUUCCCAUCCCACUCCCCCUUGCGUAUUUCAUUUCAGUGCCAGGUGUGAGAAGAAAAUCAUGAAGUAAAAGCAUUUCCCCACAUGCUCUGUUUCUCUGCUUUGAACCCUCAGUCCCAGCUGCCAGCAGGAGCACCUCGAGGGCUUUCAGAAAUUCAAUCAGUUCCUAGACAGUGGCAAUCAGAGGAUGGCCAAGAUCAUGAAAGCAGCACAGAUGAGAAGUCAAAAACAGGAGUUAAAGACCUCAGAAGUCCUCCUGUCUUUCCUUCUCUUCUUGAUUGGUAACCUGAAGCUUUCAAGGAAUAGAACCCCUAGAUGUCAACAGACCUAGAAGGUGAUUUGUCCAAGCUGGAACGAGAGGACUGAGGGCAGAGGAACAGAAUGGAACUACAGAAGAACUCGGUGUGUGUGGACAUUUUGAGGGGAGUUUUAUAGCUCCAUCAGGAGACCUUGGGGAAAAAUUAAUAAGAGUUAUACAGAAACCUAAGGUAAUGGAAUAAAAAAAAGAGGCAUUUACUCAAUCUGUAAAAAAAAACGCACAAGAAAGAACAUGAAACCACAGUACCUACAUAGCUCAGCUGUAUGUGCUGUUUAUAGGGUCAUGAGGUUAUAAACACUAUGUGUGAGGAAGAGAGGUAAGUCGAAUCUUCCCUAGUAGGAAUUAAAAGAUGGUAGCUAAAAUGGAAAAAUCAGGAAAAGGAAUUAUACUCAUGGUAUUCAGAAACUUGGAAGUAAAUUCUAGAAGAAACCACUAAAAUAAUUUAAUGUGGUUGCCGCUGGGGAGUAGCCCUUUGGAGUGAAGCAGGGGACUGGGAUUUUUCAUGUUGAAGCCUGUGGUUCUAUUUUAAAGGAUGUGGACUUUAUUUAAAGGAUGCUCAUGUAUUUUAAAGGGAAUCACUGGGACUGUCCAUAAAUAUCCAGGGCACUGUGGAACUUGGGAAUGAAGCUUCAGAAAUGAGAGCACAAACCAAUGCAUUCCCUUCCCUAUCUCAGCUCGUGUGGAUCAUGGAGCUGGAUUUUCCCUCCACUGGGGCCCCCGAGUAAGGACAGCAUGAAGCAGAGCCCCUCAGUCACCCCAC